GCUCCAUUGCACCCAAAGCAUUAGUCAGUAGAGCACGAGACUCUUAAUCUCAGGGUUGUGGGUUCAAGCCCAAUGUGGAGCA